rnacentral:rRNA from 1 species
GAUGAACGCUGGCGGCGUGCCUAAUACAUGCAAGUAGAACGCUGAAGGAGGAGCUUGCUCUUCUGGAUGAGUUGCGAACGGGUGAGUAACGCGUAGGUAACCUGCCUGGUAGCGGGGGAUAACUAUUGGAAACGAUAGCUAAUACCGCAUGACAACAGUUAUUGCAUGAUAACUGUUUAAAAGGGGCAACUGCUCCACUACCAGAUGGACCUGCGUUGUAUUAGCUAGUUGGUGAGGUAACGGCUCACCAAGGCGACGAUACAUAGCCGACCUGAGAGGGUGAUCGGCCACACUGGGACUGAGACACGGCCCAGACUCCUACGGGAGGCAGCAGUAGGGAAUCUUCGGCAAUGGACGGAAGGCUGACCGAGCAACGCCGCGUGAGUGAAGAAGGUUGUCGGAUCGUAAAGCUCUGUUGUAAGAGAAGAACGAGUGUGAGAGUGGAAAGUUCACACUGUGACGGUAUCUUACCAGAAAGGGACGGCUAACUACGUG